rnacentral:rRNA from 1 species
UUAUCCGGAUUCAUUGGGUUUAAAGGGAGCGUAGGCGGACGUUUAAGUCAGUUGUGAAAGUUUGCGGCUCAACCGUAAAAUUGCAGUUGAUACUGGGUGUCUUGAGUACAGUAGAGGCAGGCGGAAUUCGUGGUGUAGCGGUGAAAUGCUUAGAUAUCACGAAGAACUCCGAUUGCGAAGGCAGCUUGCUGGACUGUAACUGACGCUGAUGCUCGAAAGUGUGGGUAUCAAACAGGACUAGAUACCCUGGUAGUCCACACAGUAAACGAUGAAUACUCGCUGUUUGCGAUAUACAGUAAGCGGCCAAGCGAAAGCGUUAAGUAUUCCACCUGGGGAGUACGUCGGCAACGGUGAAACUCAAAGGAAUUGACGGGGGCCCGCACAAGCGGAGGAACAUGUGGUUUAAUUC